AUUGAACGCUGGCGGCAGGCUUAACACAUGCAAGUCGAGCGGGGGAGAUUGCUUCGGUAAUUGACCUAGCGGCGGACGGGUGAGUAAUACUUAGGAAUCUGCCUAUUAAUGGGGGACAACAUCUCGAAAGGGAUGCUAAUACCGCAUACGCCCUACGGGGGAAAGCAGGGGAUCACUUGUGACCUUGCGUUAAUAGAUGAGCCUAAGUCGGAUUAGCUAGUUGGUGGGGUAAAGGCCUACCAAGGCGACGAUCUGUAGCGGGUCUGAGAGGAUGAUCCGCCACAAUGUGACUGAGACACGGCCCAGACUCCUACGGGAGGCAGCAGUGGGGAUUAUUGGACAAUGGGGGGAACCCUGAUCCAGCCAUGCCGCGUGUGUGAAGAAGGCCUUAUGGUUGUAAAGCACUUUAAGCGAGGAGGAGGCUCUUUUGGUUAAUACCCAAGAUGAGUGGACGUUACUCGCAGAAUAAGCACCGGCUAACUCUGUGCCAGCAGCCGCCGUAACAC
rnacentral:rRNA from 1 species